rnacentral:rRNA from 1 species
GAUGAACGCUGGCGGCGUGCUUAACACAUGCAAGUCGAACGAAGCACUUUAUUUGAUUUCCUUCGGGACUGAUUAUUUUGUGACUGAGUGGCGGACGGGUGAGUAACGCGUGGGUAACCUGCCUUGUACAGGGGGAUAACAGUUGGAAACGGCUGCUAAUACCGCAUAAGCGCACAGCAUCGCAUGAUGCAGUGUGAAAAACUCCGGUGGUAUAAGAUGGACCCGCGUUGGAUUAGCUAGUUGGUGAGGUAACGGCCCACCAAGGCGACGAUCCAUAGCCGACCUGAGAGGGUGACCGGCCACAUUGGGACUGAGACACGGCCCAAACUCGUACGGGAGGCAGCAGUGGGGAAUAUUGCACAAUGGGCGAAAGGCUGAUGCAGCGACGCCGCGUGAGCGAAGAAGUAUUUCGGUAUGUAAAGCUCUAUCAGCAGGGAAGAUAAUGACGGUACCUGACGAAGAAGCACCGGCUAAAUACGUG